rnacentral:tRNA from 1 species
CCUCUCAUGGCGUAGUGGUAACGCGCCCCAACUAGAGAUCGGGGAGUCGUGACUUCGAUUCUCACUGAGAAGA